rnacentral:lncRNA from 1 species
AGAAAAGAUAAAAAGAGAGUCUAAUUAUAUGACUAUAAACGAAACAGAACAAAACGAAUAUAAUAUAGAAUUACAUUUUAAUUAUAAAGAUUUAAACCUAUUAAGAAAAAAAGAAGAGACGGUAAAUGCUUUAGUAAACAGACUGGAAUUGAAUUUAAAAAAAAAUGGAGCAAAAGAAGAAUAAAAAAGAGAGAAACAAAAAGGAUAAUAAAGUUUCGGUUGAUAUUAAAAAUGCUACUAUCAGUAGCUCAAAUAAUAGUUCGAAUACAGGCGAAGUACUCAAAAAAAUGUACCUCCCAAGAAAACUCUCCAAAAAAUUCGCAAAAACCCUUACAAGGAAACUUUCAAAAAUCUUUACAAACAAACUCUCAAGCACCUAUACAAUUUUUCGAUAGUGAUAACAAUAUGAUUGAAGGAAAUGAGGUAUUAGGAGAUAUAAUAGAUAAAUUAAGUUAUGUGAUAAUUGAUAAACUUAAAAUAGAUAUAUUAAAAAAAUUAUAUGACAUUAAACGAAUAUAUGUUUCUAUGGAUAUAUUCGUAAAUCAUCCUGUUAUACCUGUCAACAUACCUAUCAAUGAACUUAAUGAUUUUGUUUAUUAUUGGAUUUCUUCUAAUGAUAAAAAUAAAAUAAAAUCAUGUGAUUUAUUUUAUAUACCAGAUAAAAGUGAUAUAUCGCAACCUAUUCAAUUUGUUAUUUAUUAUAAAAAGGCACCUUUUUCUUUUUAUAUAACUGAACAGCUGAAUGUUAACUCAAAUGAAUUUGAAAAAGAGUUGCAAAUAAAAAAUAAAAGGUAUUUAGAAUUUAAUCAGGAUAUUAACAGUGAUAAUAUCAAUAACAGUUACAAAGAUAUACCUAACUGUAACAACACUAUCCGUAUUGUUUCUUAUAAUAUACUCGCACCUGUAUAUACAAACACAAAAUAUGCAAUGGAAUAUAUGUUUAAAAAUGUAAAUAACGAUUAUUUAAAAACAAAUUAUAGGUCUCAUUUAUUAAUAAAUGAUAUAAAUAAUAAUUUCGAUAUAAUAUGUUUACAAGAAGUUAGUGAAUAUUUACAUUCUAAUUUAUUUUCUGUUUUUUUACAUUCGAAUUAUUAUUCUUCUUAUAAAUCAAAAAAUAAUAAUGGAAGUGAUGGAUGUUCAAUAUUUGUAAAUAAAAACAAAUUUACAUUAAUUGAAAACAAAAAUUAUGAAUUUAAUAAUGUUAUAAAACUCCCUGAGUUAAAACAUGUAUAUGAUACAUUUAGUAAAUUAUCAAAUAAUAUUGAAAAUAUAAUUAAUGAAAUAAAAACAAUUUUUCAGAUAGGUAUCUACAAAUAUGAUAAUACUAUCACAAGUGGUAAUGGUAAUACCCACAACAGUAACAACAGUGGCAACAGUGGCAACAGUGG